rnacentral:rRNA from 1 species
UACGAACUGUGCAAACGUUAUUCGGAAUUACUGGGCGUAAAGAGCGCGCAGGCGGUCGAUUUAGUCGUGUGUGAAAGCCCCCGGCUCAACUGGGGAGGGUCACGCGAUACUGAUCGACUCGAAGGCAGGAGAGGGUAGUGGAAUUCCCGGUGUAGUGGUGAAAUGCGUAGAUAUCGGGAGGAACACCAGUGGCGAAGGCGACUACCUGGCCUGUUUCUUGACGCUGAGGCGCGAAAGCUAGGGGAGCAAACGGG